AAGAUCUUAAGUUAAAUAAACUAAGGGCCUUCAAAGCCUUAAAUGGCACCAGCCAGAUCUUG
rnacentral:tRNA from 1 species